rnacentral:rRNA from 1 species
UACGUAGGGUGCAAGCGUUGUCCGGAAUUAUUGGGCGUAAAGAGCUUGUAGGUGGUUUGUCGCGUUGUUCGUGAAAUCUCACGGCUUAACUGUGAGCGUGCGGGCGAUACGGGCAGACUAGAGUACUGCAGGGGAGACUGGAAUUCCUGGUGUAGCGGUGGAAUGCGCAGAUAUCAGGAGGAACACCGGUGGCGAAGGCGGGUCUCUGGGCAGUAACUGACGCUGAGAAGCGAAAGCGUGGGGAGCGAACAGG